ACAUUAUUCAUGGUGCUGAGUUUUAUGCUCUGUUGUAUUAGUUCUACUUUUUGUUUUGAUAAUGACUGUGGUAACACUGCAUUUUGAAAGAGUGGAGAUCGAACAGGGGAGGUUGCUGUGAGAAAUUUUGUGGAUCUCAUCCAAACCCUUCUGCGGAGUCCUACAUACAGGUGGCAAUUCUUCAAGGACAUUUACCCAUUGCAUUACGGUCCCAAAUAUGACACUGCACUGCAGUCACUGGUGUGGGAAUUCCUGUGCAGACUGGAAAAGCUACUACCAGUGCCUAGCUUCCAUCAGGCAGCCUAUUGGUUUAAUGAAGACUCCUCACUCCUGGAUGAUUCCUUACAAAUCGUUUCUGACCCAAAGAAAAUUAAAAUCUUGUUGCUACACUUCAAAUGUUUUGCACACUUGGACCCAGGAUCCUCAUCUUCACCCAUUAUGGCAGACACUAUUCUCUCCACAUUAUCUGGAAAAGCUGAGAAAUGUCUGUCAACACCCCAUGAAACCAAAGGUUCAAUACAUGAAGCAGGUAGGCAUGGAGACAUGAA